UUACGGCCACAUCAUUUUGAAACACCGGUUCCCGUACGAUCACCGAAGUUAAGCAACGUUGAGCAUAGUCAGUACCUAGAUAGGGGACCGCUUAUGUA